CAUGCAAGUCGAACGAAGUAGCAAUACUUAGUGGCAGACGGGUGAGUAACAUGUAGGUAUCUACCCUUUGGCCUGGAAUAACACGAGGAAACUUGUGCUAAUACCGGAUAAGUCUUUACGGAGAAAGCUUUAUGCACCAUUGGAUGAGCCUGCACUUGAUUAGUUUGUUGGUGGGGUAAUGGCCUACCAAGACUGUGAUCAAUAGCUGAUUUGAGAGGAUGAUCAGCCACAUUGGGACUGAGACACGGCCCAAACUCCUACGGGAGGCAGCAGUGGGGAAUCUUGCACAAUGGAGGAAACUCUGAUGCAGCGAUGCCGCGUGAGUGAAGAAGGCCUUUGGGUUGUAAAGCUCUUUCGUCGGGGAAGAAAAUGACUGUACCCGAAUAAGAAGGUCCGGCUAACUUCGUGCCAGCAGCCGCGGUAAUACGAAGGGACCUAGCGUAGUUCGGAAUUACUGGGCUUAAAGAGUUCGUAGGUGGUUGAAAAAGUUAGUGGUGAAAUCCCAGAGCUUAACUCCCGAACUGCCAUUAAAACUUUUCAGCUAGAGUAUGAUAGAGGAAAGCAGAAUUUCUAGUGUAGAGGUGAAAUUCGUAGAUAUUA
rnacentral:rRNA from 1 species